UACGGGAGGCAGCAGUGGGGAAUAUUGCACAAUGGGCGCAAGCCUGAUGCAGCCAUGCCGCGUGUAUGAAGAAGGCCUUCGGGUUGUAAAGUACUUUCAGUCGUGAGGAAGGUGUUAAGGUUAAUAACCUUAGCAAUUGACGUUAGCGACAGAAGAAGCACCGGCUAACUCCGUGCCAGCAGCCGCGGUAAUACGGAGGGUGCGAGCGUUAAUCGGAAUUACUGGGCGUAAAGGGCACGCAGGCGGUUAAUUAAGUUGGAUGUGAAUCCCCGGGCUUAACCUGGGAAUGGCAUUCAAGACUGGUUAGCUAGGGUCUUGUAGAGGGGGUAGAAUUCCAUGUGUAGCGGUGAAAUGCGUAGAGAUGUGGAGGAAUACCGGUGGCGAAGGCGGCCCCUGGACAAAGACUGACGCUCAUGUGCGAAAGCGUGGGGAGCAAAC
rnacentral:rRNA from 1 species